rnacentral:misc_RNA from 1 species
GGUGGCGCAGCCGGAGCUUGUGUUAGCCUCUUCAGAGGGUGAUGUUGUGGAGGCUUAGGGUUAGGGAGCUUGUGUUGGCCUUCUCUGAGGCGAUGAUGGAGAUGUUUGGGAAAUAAGUUAGCAUCGUGUGGGGGGAAUAAGAUAUGUAGCCUUUAUUUUCGAUUUGUUCCUUCUUCUUUUUUUUCUUUGUUAUGUUGAAUAUAAUGUCGAACUUGG